GAUGAACGCUGGCGGCGUGCCUAAUACAUGCAAGUCGAGCGAAUGGAUUAAGAGCUUGCUCUUAUGAAGUUAGCGGCGGACGGGUGAGUAACACGUGGGUAACCUGCCCAUAAGACUGGGAUAACUCCGGGAAACCGGGGCUAAUACCGGAUAACAUUUUGAACCGCAAGGUUCGAAAUUGAAAGGCGGUUUCGGCUGUCACUUAUGGAUGGACCCGCGUCGCAUUAGCUAGUUGGUGAGGUAACGGCUCACCUAGGCAACGGUGCGUAGCCGACCUGAGAGGGUGAUCGGCCACACUGGGACUGAGACACGGCCCAGACUCCUACGGGAGGCAGCAGUAGGGAAUCUUCCGCAAUGGACGAAAGUCUGACGGAGCAACGCCGCGUGAGUGAUGAAGGCUUUCGGGUCGUAAAACUCUGUUGUUAGGGAAGAACAAGUGCUAGUUGAAUAAGCUGACACCUUGACGGUACCUAACCAGAAAGCCACGGCUAACUACGUGCCAGCCGCCGCAGUAA
rnacentral:rRNA from 1 species